UACGGAGGGUGCAAGCGUUAAUCGGAAUUACUGGGCGUAAAGCGUGCGCAGGCGGUUUGUUAAGUCCGCUGUGAAAUCCCCGAGCUCAACUUGGGAAUUGCAGUGGAUACUGGCAAGCUGGAGUAUGGUAGAGGAAGGUGGAAUUCCCGGUGUAGCAGUGAAAUGCGUAGAUAUCGAGAGGAACACCUGCGGCGAAGGCGGGUUGCUGGGCUGACACUGACGCUGAAGCGCGAAAGCUAGGGGAGCGAACGGG
rnacentral:rRNA from 1 species